rnacentral:rRNA from 1 species
AUUGAACGCUGGCGGCAGGCCUAACACAUGCAGUCAACGAACAGUGGCGGACGGGUGAGUAAUGUCUGGGAAACUGCCUGAUGGAGGGGGAUAACUCAGGGAAACUUGUGCUAAUACCGAAUGCCUUUAGAGCGGCCCGCGUCUGAUUAGCUAGUUGGUGAGGUAAAGGCUCACCAAGGCGACGAUCAGUAGCUGGUCUGAGAGGAUGAUCAGCCACAUUUGGACUGAGACACGGCCCAAACUCCUACGGGAGGCAGCAGUGGGGAAUCUUGCGCAAUGGGCGAAAGCCUGACGCAGCCAUGCCGCGUGAAUGAUGAAGGUCUUAGGAUUGUAAAAUUCUUUCACCGGGGACGCGGUACCCGGAGAAGAAGCCCCGGCUAACUUCGUGCCAGCAGCCGCGGUAAUUC